rnacentral:rRNA from 1 species
UACAGAGGGGGCAAGCGUUGUUCGGAAUUACUGGGCGUAAAGGGCGCGUAGGCGGCCUAUUAAGUCGGACGUGAAAACCCUCGGCUCAACCGGGGAACUGCAUUCGAUACUGCCGUGCUUGAGGACUGGAGAGGAGACUGGAAUUUACGGUGUAGCGGUGAAAUGCGUAGAUAUCGUAAGGAAGACCAGUGGCGAAGGCGGGUCUCUGGACAGUUCCUGACGCUGAGGCACGAAGGCCAGGGGAGCAAACGGG